rnacentral:rRNA from 1 species
CAGCAGUCGCCGCGGGAAUACGUAGGUGGCAAGCGUUGUCCGGAAUUAUUGGGCGUAAAGGGCUCGCAGGCGGUUUCUUAAGUCUGAUGUGAAAGCCCCCGGCUCAACCGGGGAGGGUCAUUGGAAACUGGGAAGCUUGAGUGCAGAAGAGGAGAGUGGAAUUCCACGUGUAGCGGUGUAAUGCGUAGAGAUGUGGAGGAACACCAGUGGCGAAGGCGACUCUCUGAUCUGUAACUGACGCUGAGGAGCGAAAGCGUGGGGAGCGAACAGGAUUAGAUACCCCCGUAGUCCCUGUCUCUUAUAC